rnacentral:lncRNA from 1 species
CCUCGCGAGCGCCGCCGUGUGGCGGGAGGGCGAAGUGCCCGGUGAUUGGCCGCGCGGCGCGUCUCCAAGGGGAAGAGGAGUGAGGGGCGAGGGUUCGCCGCGCCCCUGGAGUCCUCUCUGCGUUGUGUGACAGUUCUUGUGGCGGAGAAGGAGGUUUCAUCGAGUGUGGAUACCCACCCACCCUGCCUCCCAGUGUCAAGAGCACAUGGUCCGCGCUGAGCUGCGGGUGUAGCCCAAAGGACUUGAGACCUCGUGUUCUGGGGGAGGACAGACAGAGUUCACCGUCUCCAGCUGAGGAAGAACCUCUCAAGCCAAGGAGGUCUUGUAACAAGAGAUUUGGGAAAUGAAGACGUUAUGGUGGAGAUUCAGGUUGAGGAGCCUGUUCACAUACCUGCCGCCUAUUUAAGUCAACGACAGCUUUUCACUUCACCGGUAAAGUGGGUCCCCCAAGCCCUCCUCUCAGCUCAGUGGAAGUGGUGAGUUUGGGGGGCAGGUGGUGAAGGGAUUAUUGAUGGGAGAUGGGAGAAUUUCACGGGGGAUCUCAGAAAAGGAGCAUUAUAAGGGGAAGAACUUACCCAGAGUCUAUUCUUAGCUCUCUCACCUUUGGGAAAAUAUUCCUGCAGUCAGGGGCCUCUUUGUGCAUGUCAGUUCUCAUCUUCCUGGGGUCUGGACCCAGAUCUGAGCCUGCAGUGUGUGUCUAUUUGGAAGGGGGCAUUUGGUGAGGGUGAGGAGUAACACCUGCAUAUAGGAUAAAUUUUCUUUGCAAGGAUGUAAAUAUUUAAUUCAGGAGGAGAAUAUGGUGAAAUGAUAUGUUUGAGAUUUAUUAUUUUAUUUCUCUUGGCACUUCUUUCCUCUCUCCAUUGGAGCAGAUGGUCAGCUCUGAGCUCAUCACCUCAGGGAAGGGAAGUGUCAGUGUAGAAAGAGCCUCUCCAGAGUUGUGUUCCAAAGCCCUAAGUCCUUAGGGAACUAAGAGUAUUUUAAGUACGGAUAAAAUUUUUAGAACAAGUAGAAGGAAGAGAAAAGGGCUUCCCCCAAGAUUAGGGUGAGAUUCUCUGGGCUGGAGGGGGAGAAGGGGAACCCGCUAAGCCUCAGAGAGAGGCUCCAAACCCUGGUGCCUGAGUGUAGUCCUGGAGGAGUGGCUGCAUGGAAGACCUGGUGAGUGGGGCCAAAACAGUCUCAGAUAUUCCUAGCCACCAGGGGCCAUGAAGCAGCAGGAAGUGUCCCACACUGGGCUCUCUGGACCAUACUGUGUCCCACCUGUCCUAUGGCAUCAGUCCGUGUGGGUCUCCACAUUCUUUCCAUUCUUUCCAUUGAGUGGUCUGCAUGUCGCCUUCUGGUCAGGUAGCUGUCUCUGCUUCUUCUUCCAUGACAGGCUAGAGGAGGUAGGAGCGUUUUGUGCUUGUGUAUCAUACUAGGACACAGACAUCUGUGUGAGGCUGUCAGUGGCCCAUCUGCUCAGAUGUACCUCAAGGUCAAUCUCUGUCUGAGUCCUGAUGCCUCUCUGAGGUCUCACUCUGAUACCAGGUACUGGGACCUUCAGGUUCUUGUUUUCUUACUUAUCAACUCUCCUCUGCAGAAACCAAAAUGAGGCUCAGAGAAGCACACAGGCUUGUUAGGAAGGAAAAAAAAAAGUUUUAUAGGAACACAAAGGUUUACACAAUCUCAUAUUUCUAUUGGGAAUUCUCUCUGUGUCAAUCCCCUCCCCCUCCAUUGACUCAUAACAAUCAGUGAUGGUCAAAGGUCCACAGGUCACUCUCACUGAGGUAAACUCAGAAUCAUUUUCAUAGUAACAACACUUUGGGCAUUCCAAGUGAGUUUCUGGAGACAAAGAAUUCAGGCUCUGAGAUAUAGACAAGUUUCUUCUACAGUAUGAUAUCAAGAAAUGUAUAUCAAGCUCCUGCUACAGACCCUCAAAUCACAUCAAUCUUCUUCUCAACUUAGCAUGAGCAUGGUCUGCAUUAGCCUGUCACAAAAAGGAGAAUCAUGUAUCAUUCAGGGGUUAGGUCAUGAAAUUAGCACUUAUGGCAAAAAUUCACAUAAAAAUUACCCUAAAACUUUCUUAAAUCUUCAGUUGAG